rnacentral:rRNA from 1 species
GUGGGGAAUUUUGGACAAUGGGCGCAAGCCUGAUCCAGCAAUGCCGCGUGCAGGAAGAAGGCCUUCGGGUUGUAAACUGCUUUUGUUGGGGAAGAAAACCUGUUGGUUAAUACCCGAUGGGAAUGACGGUACCCAAAGAAUAAGCACCGGCUAACUUCGUGCCAGCAGCCGCGGUAAUACGAAGGGUGCAAGCGUUACUCGGAAUUACUGGGCGUAAAGCGUGCGUAGGUGGUUCGUUAAGUCUGCCGUGAAAGCCCCGGGCUCAACCUGGGAAUUGCGGUGGAUACUGGCGGACUAGAGUGCGGUAGAGGGUGGUGGAAUUCCCGGUGUAGCAGUGAAAUGCGUAGAGAUCGGGAGGAACAUCUGUGGCGAAGGCGGCCACCUGGACCAGCACUGACACUGAGGCACGAAAGCGUGGGGAGCAAACAGGAUUAGAUACCCGGGUAGUCC